rnacentral:snoRNA from 1 species
AUCCUUUGGUUUAUAAGUAUAAUGACUUAGGUGUUCAUGCCCUCACGUGAGGUGUGCUUCCCUUUAAACUUGUUAGAAUGUUGAUAUAAAACUAAUUCACUUCUGAGG